ensembl:lncRNA
AUCUUGCUGGAGGUUCCUGCGUACCUGAAGCCUUCCAAAGGGAUGUGGGAGUAUCAGCACCUCCUACGUAACGCUCAGCAGCGUGCAGAAGUAGACUAGUCUGGUCACUUAUGGAGGCCCGUUUAGAACCAGUAGGAUUAUUCAGGACAAGUAGAGGCUGAAUUGCGUCUGUCCCAGAGGAACCAUGAAUUAAGUCUCUGCAAUCAGUGACAGUUCUGACUUCGGAAACGGGCACGAGCUGGUUUUUCCAAGCGAUCGAGUUACCACAGUUUAAGAGAUUUUCAAAAGCAAUUGCAACAGCCUGAGAGCAUCCACACAGGAAGUUACAGCUCAGCUGGCGCAUGGCAAACCGUGAAGCUGCGCAUUCUGGUCAUUUCUACAACUGGAAAGAAAAAAUACAGAACAAAUGAGCAACAACAACAGAAACAACAACAACAACAACAGCAACAAACCCAAACGCCCAGAGAUCAAAAGAUGUACAGCUGCAAAUCUCUCAGUAGAUCUGCCUGAUGCUCUGGGUUGUUGGCGUGGCUGUUAGCGCUGAUCGGAUUUCUGUAUCAGAGUCUGGACACUAUGACCCUUUCUACUGGCGUUGGUCCAGUAAAAGUCUACUGCAGGGGUUCCCAUUCACUUGCUUUGAAUUUGGCCUCAAUUACAGGAAUGGGAGGAGAGGGAAAAAAAAAAAAAAGAAUGAAAAAAGAGAAAAAAAAAACCUGCCAAGAGGAGCUUCCUUUCUGGUUAUUAAAACAACAACAAUUUAUCCCUGUUUAGUGUAGAUUUUGAGAUUGCUUUGGCGACAGGAGUUCUGCCACCUGUUCCCAACAGGACGUUGUGCAAAUGAGUAGAAAACUGGUAAUUGCUGAGUAAUAAAAUACACACGUGCAU